GGCUGGCCCACACGUCAACGAGAAGCACUUCUGUCCCCCCACCGCCCCCUAUAGGAUUCAGGAACCUUCUUCUUCACUGGACCGAUGCAAGUUGUUCCCCAAAUCCACUGUCGCGCGCCCUUGCCGCUCAAUCUCCGCUCACAUUCACCAAGAAGCACUUCUGUCCCCCCCACCGCCCCCUCAAAACCCCCUGUUGGCGCUGCAUCCACGUUCACGUCGCUUGAGGAGGUGAGCACUCGGAUCUAGCUAGGUGCCGCAAGCGAGACCAUGCCAUGUUCCAUCUCCACGCACUUUUCUCGUGAGCACGCUCUGCCAUCCCGCCUCCUCCUAGUAACGCGUUGCUCAAGGUUACUGGAUCUGGUGAGUCACCGUUCAGAGUUGGGUUCCUGUUCCUGGGGCGCUUCUUCUUACGUUCGCAGGUGGAGCGUCCGUGGAGGAGGCGGCGGGGUAUUGAUGGAAGUGGUACCCUUGAUGGAUAGCAAGGGAAGAAAACUUGACGGUUAAUCCUAAAAGAUGGUGAGUGCUCUAUCUUGGAGACUUCGAAGAUGGAGAAUCUUGGAAGAACAAUCAAAAGGAUGGAAACACCUUUCCACAGUGGUAGCGCCAGAACAGCCGUCGACGGCUUCAAGCUCCUACGUGUGUUUCCGGCGUUUGGUUGUUGCGUCUGUACCCUGCUGGACUCAGCCGACGGGAUACCUAGGACCUAAAUGGAUGUUCUGAGAGUUGUAGUCGGUGGGCUGCUGUAGACUCGUAGCCGGCGGGCUGCUGUGAGACUCGUGGACUUAUUUGGGCAAAACUGAUUUGUAACUCACGUGUGUAUGGAUCUGGUCGAUGUGGGAUUUUUUGGGCAAAAUAUAUUUCAACGUGACAUGUAUGGGUCUAGACAUAUAUGGAUCUAGACAUUAUAUUAUUUAUUAUAUUUAUUCUUCA